rnacentral:rRNA from 1 species
CCUACGGGUGGCAGCAGUGAGGAAUAUUGGUCAAUGGGCGCAAGCCUGAACCAGCCAUGCCGCGUGCAGGAAGGCGGCCUAUGGAUUGUAAACUGCUUUUAUUAGGGAAUAGGUACCUAAUGAAUAAGCACCGGCUAACUCCGUGCCAGCAGCCGCGGUAAUACGGAGGGUGCAAGCGUUAUCCGGAAUCAUUGGGUUUAAAGGGUCCGCAGGCGGAUUUAUAAGUCAGUGGUGAAAUCUCUCGGCUUAACCGAGAAACUGCAAUUGAUACUGUAAGUCUUGAAUUCGAUCGAAGUGGGCGGAAUAUGACAUGUAGCGGUGAAAUGCUUAGAUAUGUCAUAGAACACCGAUAGCGAAGGCAGCUCACUAGGUCUGAUUGACGCUCAGGGACGAAAGCGUGGGGAGCAAACAGGAUUAGAUACCCUAGUAGUC